AUGCUUCCUCUGCAGAGCUUCGGUGUUUACGAAUCAACCUUCUCUGGGUUUCAACAUCAUUUCAACAACGACGUCGCUGUCUCCAUCUCACUCCAUCAAUACAACACCGCAGUGGAUUCUUCGUAUUCAACAGAACUCAUACAAAUCCAAAGGAACUCCGAUGGCUUUUUCAACGGUGCUGGUAAUGAGAUGCUCAGGUUUGGUUCAUAUCAGGGCUAUUGGGAAGCAAAGGCAAAAGGAAAACACCAAGAUGAUAUGAAGUUGGAACAAAGACGCAUGACACGAAGUUUUGGAAACUUGAAGUUUAAAACAUGA